rnacentral:rRNA from 1 species
UACAGAGACGUCGAGCGUUGUUCGGAUUCAUUGGGCGUAAAGGGUGCGUAGGCGGUGAGGUAAGUCGGAUGUGAAAUCCCAAGGCUUAACCUUGGAAGUGCAUCCGAAACUACCUCGCUUGAGGACUGGAAGGGAGACUGGAAUUCUCGGUGUAGCGGUGAAAUGCGUAGAUAUCGAGAGGAACACCUGUGGCGAAGGCGGGUCUCUGGACAGUUCUUGACGCUGAGGCACGAAAGCCAGGGGAGCAAACGGG